AGUCCAGAAACAAAGCAGGAAGUUGAGUUUAAGCAACUCCACAGCAGAAUGACCGAGUCACUUUUUCUUUGAAUGUAAAAUAUAAUAAUAGAAACUACCAUUUAUUCCUUACCUACUAUAAACUAGCCACUCCACCAUACAAAUUAAGAAUGUCAUCACAACUCUCUUGUAAACAGGUGGUGGUCACCCUGUUUCAUGGAUGAAAAAUCAGAGGCUUAGACAGGUGGAGAAAUUGGGCUAUAUUACACAACCUAUUAAGUG
rnacentral:lncRNA from 1 species